rnacentral:rRNA from 1 species
GACGAACGCUGGCGGCGUGCUUAACACAUGCAAGUCGAACGGAAAGGCCUCUUUCGGGGGGUACUCGAGUGGCGAACGGGUGAGUAACACGUGAGUAACCUGCCCUUGACUUUGGGAUAACUUCAGGAAACUGGGGCUAAUACCGGAUAGGAGCUCCUGCUGCAUGGUGGGGGUUGGAAAGUUUCGGCGGUUGGGGAUGGACUCGCGGCUUAUCAGCUUGUUGGUGGGGUAGUGGCUUACCAAGGCUUUGACGGGUAGCCGGCCUGAGAGGGUGACCGGCCACAUUGGGACUGAGAUACGGCCCAGACUCCUACGGGAGGCAGCAGUGGGGAAUAUUGCACAAGGGGUGGAAGCCUGAUGCAGCAACGCCGUGUGCGGGAGGACGGCCUUCGGGUUGGAAACCGCUUUCGCUCAUGACGAAGCUUUGUGUGACGGUAGUGGGUAAAGAAGCACCGGCUAACUACGUG